GGCAUGGUCUAAGACGAGAUCUUUAUAUAGCCCCCUUUCUGAUAAUCAGAGAGAACAUUUUGUCUAGUCCGACCAAGAGCGAAGGAAUGUUUGUUUGAACUGUGCCAAACCGUUUCUCAGAUCCAAUUGUUAGCACAAAAUGACUCUACUCCUUUUAAGAAGCAGGAAAGCAGGUUUCCUGAGUGAUAAUGUUGAGGCACAAUUUUUUUUCUCCUCUCUUGUUUUUGAUUACUUGAUAUCUUUAUUUAAGAGGCAUGAAUUUUGGAGAUGAUUUGGGG
rnacentral:lncRNA from 1 species